UACGAAGGUCCCGAGCGUUGUUCGGAAUCACUGGGCGUAAAGGGAGCGUAGGCGGCGUGGUAAGUCAGAUGUGAAAUCCCGGGGCUCAACCCCGGAACUGCAUCCGAUACUGCCGUGCUAUAGGAUUGGAGAGGUAGCUGGAAUUCUUGGUGUAGCAGUGAAAUGCGUGGAGAUCAAGAGGAACACUCGUGGCGAAAGCGAGCUACUGGACAAUAUCUGACGCUGAGGCUCGAAGGCCAGGGUAGCGAAA
rnacentral:rRNA from 1 species